rnacentral:tRNA from 1 species
AAAUCAAUAAGUUAAUGAAACUAUUAACCUUCAAAGUUAAAAAUGCAAUGCUUGAUUUG